rnacentral:lncRNA from 1 species
GUGGACACCGCACUGGGUUUCUUCUCCAAUUCUAACCUGCUGUGAAGAAGUCACAUUUUAAGUGAAACCCUGGGCUGUUCUAGUUUACCAUAACUUGGGGUUUUGCUGGAUCUGGAGCUCCUGGCCAAGUCUGUUACUUCUCCCUGGAGUUGCCAUCCUCCAGGACGUACCUUCUCUCAAGUCAGUUGGUCUAGUCCACUGUCAGUGUGCUUCUUGGUUGGAGCCUCCGCUGCCAAGUGCUGAGGGGAAACAAAACAGAGCUUGGAGGUGAUUAGUGUGCAGUCCACAGAAAUCCUUCUGCUGUUCUCAUUUACUUGAUGAAUGAAAUCUCCCAGGGUAAAGAGCCUUCGGGUGCUGGACUUGUCAGGUGUGGAGAAGUAUAAUAACCAGGGUCAGCAGACUCAGUGACAAGAACACCACUUCUGUGCCUCAAAGAUGACAUCUUCCCAUUGUGUCUUCAUGUGAUGGAAGAGUCGGGUGUGAUCAACCUGGGAUGCAGAAGAUGGUCCUUCAGCUUGGCUUCUGCAUCUGGCAUCGAAAAGGUACAAAAUGAAGGAUCCAGUCGCCAAAGUCAGGACUGUGAGGGGAAAGCAGUCCAGGCUGCAGUGAGCUCAACCCUUAAUCAGAGCCCCAAGGUGUGAGGGCAAGAAGAACCCCAGCAUCAGUAAAUGUGCAGGUGUCUUUAAGAAUGACUGCUUGAUCUGACCAUCUGCCUCGUUCACGAAUAGCUGUGGUGUAGCAUCUGAU